rnacentral:rRNA from 1 species
UACGAAGGGGGCUAGCGUUGUUCGGAAUCACUGGGCGUAAAGGGCGCGUAGGCGGCUUUAUAAGUCGGGGGUGAAAGCCUGUGGCUCAACCACAGAAUUGCCUUCGAUACUGUAGAGCUUGAGACCGGAAGAGGUAAGUGGAACUGCGAGUGUAGAGGUGAAAUUCGUAGAUAUCGCAAGAACACCAGUGGCGAAGGCGGCUUACUGGUCCGGUUCUGACGCUGAGGCGCGAAAGCGUGGGGAGCAAACAGG